UAUUUUUUGUAUUUUAUUUUGUAAUAUUGGUUUCGAACUUACCCUAGGAAGUGACGCAAGUCUCAGUUAGUGCUGCGCUACCGCUCAAGAGAGCAAUUUAAUAUACUUCCGGGUCAGUUUUGCUACAGUCUUAGCAUGUGAGACCGCAUUCCUGGUGUAGUCCUGAGAAGUGAUGCUCCGAGUGUUAAGUUGAUGACAGAAAACUGCUGGCAACACUGAGCAUCAAGACAAAUAAACCAGCUCACAUCUGAAGUUAAA